GAUGAACGCUGGCGGCGUGCCUAAUACAUGCAAGUCGAGCGAACGGACGAGAAGCUUGCUUUUCUGAUGUUAGCGGCGGACGGGUGAGUAACACGUGGAUAACCUACCUAUAAGACUGGGAUAAGUUCGGGAAACCGGAGCUAAUACCGGAUAAUAUUUUGAACCGCAUGGUUCAAAAGUGAAAGACGGUCUUGCUGUCACUGAUAGAUGGAUCCGCGCGGCAUUAGCUAGUUGGUAAGGUAACGGCUUACCAAGGCAACGAUGCAUAGCCGACCUGAGAGGGUGAUCGGCCACACUGGAACUGAGACACGGUCCAGACUCCUACGGGAGGCAGCAGUAGGGAAUCUUCCGCAAUGGGCGAAAGCCUGACGGAGCAACGCCGCGUGAGUGAUGAAGGUCUUCGGAUCGUAAAACUCUGUUAUUAGGGAAGAACAUAUGUGUAAGUAACUGUGCACAUCUUGACGGUACCUAAUCAGAAAGCCACGGCUAACUACGUG
rnacentral:rRNA from 1 species